rnacentral:lncRNA from 1 species
UUUCAUUUAAGUAUGGGGGGGAAAACCGUGUUCUUUCUAUCCUCCUUUUUUUCUUUUUCAAGUAUGUACCUUUCUUUCCAUUGUCAUUUCCCUUGAAAAUAUAUAAAAAAAAAAUAAAAAAAAAUUAUUAUAAUAUAGAUUUAUGUUAAGUUAAGUCCAAAGUGUGAAAAAUUUCUAUUAUCUAUUCCCUCAAAAUUUUCAUGAGCCAUAAC